CGCCCGCCAGCCGCUCCUGCAUUAAAAUUUCAUGGGCGCUGCAGUAAAGGCGAAGCCGACGCCGGCUGCGCUGGGGGGCCGUAGGGAGGGAGGCUGCGGACCAGUGCGGGGAGGAGUUUGCGAGGGGAGGCGCUUGCAGGGGCUCCCCCAGUUCUGCUGAGAGCCGGGCACAAAGAGCCCUCUACACUCCAGCUGCAGGAGCGAGGAGCCGAGCUGGAGGUCUGUCUGUUCUCAUCAUACACUACCUCUCUGUGGUGCCUGGAGACAAAGCAAGGCUUCACCUCUUGCAUAAAUGCAGGCGGCGGGCAGAGGCCAACAGCUUUACUGAGCCUCCUGAACCUCAAGGUCCAGUCCAGAGACUUUGAUCGUGGUCGCCAAGCCCCUGCAGCGGUGUUAAAUGGACAUUGUCACAUGUCCAUUGCCCUAAGGAGAUCUUCCAAACCUAUCCACACUCAGCCAUGGUGAGCAAGUUCCGGCCGGUUCCCAGGUGGCAGAAGAGAGGAGGGUAUUGGGAAGGUCACAGACACCCUGCAAAGCCGCCUUGCAGAUAAGUAUCCCUUCACCAGCCCUCUGUGCGAACAGCAUGGUCUCUGCAGGUACAUAUGGGAAAGGGUCGGCUCUGGAACCCCCCAGAGGGAGGGUGGAUAGACGUCCGUGACCCUGGCUCCCGAGGAUGGCAUUUGUAAGCUUGGACAGGCUCCUCGGUCGUCUUGUGGACACAUGGGGACCUCCUCAGGGCAGCCCUCGGAACACAUUGUCUCCUCUCAGCUCCAGGGUCCUGUGACAGCAGGCUGUUAAGAGCGUGCUACGAGAUGUCUCGCCUUCCGGGGCUCGGGAGGACAGAGGUAGCAUAGCUGUCAGGGAAGAGCAAACCUGAGUCCUGGGAUUCGGGGUUCUCCCUCAUCUCCUCCACCGUGGUGACUGCAGCAGUCUGAAUGAACCCCGCACCCUCUGCCAAAUGUUCUCCGCUGUGAGGGUCAUUAAAAGGUGGGGACUGAGGUGGGCAGAAGGGCAGCCUUUCAUCUCCCAGCAGUGGCUCCAGUGGCCAUUAUGGUAACCUUGUGUGACAGGGCAGGGGAGAGAGAGAGAGAGAGAGAGAGAGAGAGAGAGAGAGAGAGCUUGGCACAGGCUUCCAGCAGCCACAGCAGGGCUGAGGUCAGAGUCCUGGCACCUCCUCUGCUGUCCCCAAGCUGCCCUGCUUGCCCUGAGUUUUCCUGGGUCACACAGGAACCCACAAUGUACCCAUGUUGGUGAAGGAUGCUGUAGGUGGCAGGGAAGGAGGAGGCAGAUGGCCUCUGGGCCAAGGCAGGGCUUGGGAGUGGUCCUCUCCUGUUUGGGGGUUGGCUGUUGUGUCUUCCAGAGUCGCCCUGUGAUGUCUGUGUGUGGGAGGAGCUAGGAGCUGCGGCUGCCAGGAUGUCAGGGUGAUGCUGGGUGUCUAGGGGUGAACGACAGAGACAUGGUCCCAUCCUUCGAGAUCUUCAAGUAAGAAAAAUGUGCCUCACCACAGCUCAGCAAGGGGAUAGCUCUGCAGUCUGUCUCCAGACCCUGGUCAGCUUUGGAGCCCUGGGGAUCCCUUGGAUUCUGACUUCAUGGAACUGGGGAGCAACUUGUCUCCCUGAAGACCCUGUGCUUUCCAGUGCCUGGGAUGGAGCCCUCUGGAGAAGAGCCAUUCCUGGAAGAUGCACGCUUAGGAUCCUCCCUGCCUCUGACGGACAGCUCGGGGUGGGAGAGGCUGCAGUUCAGAGCCCUGGGGCCCUGGAGGCUCCUCCUCAUCCCAUGUGGACUGGAAUCCUCCUCCAGUCUAUGGAAAUGGGGGGGGGAGCUUGUCUCAAAGGAUCUGUGGGUAGGGUAGGGACUCCAUGGGCAUGGGGGAGGAGCUCCUGAGGAGGAGCCCAAAGUUUGUCCUUUCUUUCCUUUUCUUUCUUUCUUUCUUUCUUUCUUUCUUUCUUUCUUUCUUUCUUUCUCUCUCUUUCUCUCUUUCUUUCCUUCUCUCUCUUUCGUCCUUUCUUGCUUGCUUGUUUUUCCUUUCAUUCUCCCUCUGUCUGUCUGUCUGUCUGUCUCUCUUUCCUCAAUUUGCUGCUUGAAUGAUGGCUCUGUUUGGGUGCUUUCUGGGUGAGGUUUAGCUCCGUGCUAGUUGUGGGAAGGAGACAGACAGACAGUCCUGGCCUGGGAGCUAGCUCCUGUGCUGUCUAGCACAGGAAGGGACCUUGGAAAGAGAAAGGGGUGCCCUGAGAUAAGGACACCCAGUAGGGAGGUUCCUGGCAGACCCACAGCGUCAGCUUCCUCCAGUCACUACAGAAUGGGCCGCACCCAGUCUGCGGUUACUGAGGCUCUGCUGAGGACACGGGGCUGCUCAGGGUGCAGCACCCCAUCUGUGUUGCAUAGCUGCCAAGGGAAGAAGCUGGCACACAGUUCCUGCACCCCUGCUCAGGGUGCAGGGCCCAGCAUUCUCUCCCGUCUAGUCCCCGCAGCUGUCACCACCUUCCUGGAGGCGAUGGUUCUGCAGUCAGCAAGAGAGCAGUGUGUGGCCUUCUUUGGGACGGGAAGUCUAGAAACAGGAAGCCUUUCAUGGGAUGGGGGUUGGGGGAAGGAGUUAUGUAUUCACUUUUCAGCCCAGGCUGUGGGGCUCAGCACCAGAGACUCCCACUCCAGUGCUCGGGGUGGCAGAGCAAGAUCCAAGUGCCAGCAGUAGCUUUAUGUCCUCAGGGGGCCUCUCUUGGUGUCCAGAGUGAGUAGGCUUCAAGGAUUCGUUUCAUAAGGGUGACAGUGUUGCUGUUUCAAGACCCAGGCUUAGGACCUCAUCUGAGCUUAGGCACAGCCAUGAUGGGCUUGUCUCGCCAGGCCUUCACAUAGGGGCUGUGGGUUGGCCCGUCCCUCUUGGCGGUGGGGAGGACUCUGGCAGGGUGGUCUCACAAACAGGAGUGGCCAAAGCCAUCUCCCUUUCAGAAUUCCUCACAUAGGGACAAGCAGAUGAAUGCAAGACAGACAGUUGCAGGCACUGUGCCAGGUGUCUCGGGGACGUGGUGGCUGUAGCCAGAGCAGAGCCAGCUCAGGUCUUGCUGUACAAGUCACCUUGCCUCUACCAGCCUUGAUUUCCGCUUUGUCACUUGGGCCCUAGGCUGUCCUGGUGGCCCAGGUAGCUCUCAGGGAGGUCCUGUGCCUGGGUCAGUGCUGGGCUCUCAGCAGGUGCUUCCUACCUACAGUUCUGUCCAGUGGGAGUUUAGGGAGUUUAGGGUUAGGGUGCAGCCAGGUUGUGAUCUGGAGGCGUUCCUGGCUAGGCCACUCCCAUCUUCUUGAGGAGUCUGGGGCACUGGCCAAUCUCUGCUGUAGGCUUGCCAGGUUUUCCAGAAGGGGAGGAACCCUGUUUCCUGCUACCAGCAUGGAGUCAGUUUUACCUCUUUUCUGUGAGCCGGUUUGGGAAAUACAGGUGCUGUCCAGCCGUGCUUCAGACGUUCACAACUUCAGAGAGAAGCUAUCCCCAGGAAGGGUUAGACAACGGGCAGUCAACAGGGGCCUGGUGGGGAGGCAGACCCUCAGCUCUGGCACUCUGGAGAGGCUCCUUAGCCAGGCUGACCCGACUGGAGGAUGACAAGAGUGUGGCUUAGCUGAGUGCUUUUGGGAAGACAUUAAAGCACAACUCAAGUAGGUUAAAAGCAGUGCAGGACUUUCCAGAACCUUGAGAACGCGAAUGAGUGCUUCGGAUACUCAGGGCGGGGUAGAUGGACAAAGCAAUUACUCCUGACUUGGCUGGCUACAGAAUUCUUUUCUUACCAAACAUUGUCUAGAAUGCCGGGAGACACAGGUUGAGCUUUAGGAAUGCCAAGGUCUAUAGAUAGGUGGUAUGGCUGGGCCGUACUCAGGUGGCCUGGUGUUGCCUGGAUGGAAAGAGAAGCUGGAGGGUUGCGGUGGGGGCAGUCAAACCUCGCCUUAGGACUCAGGCCGCUUCCUUGCAGUGUUUGUAGAGGAGGGCAGGGCAGGCCAGCGGUGGGAGCAGCCAGAGACCUGGGAAUUGGUGACGGAAGAGAUGUCCAUUUCCAAGCAUGGCAGCUCGGGGUGGGGGUGGGGUGGGGUGGGGUAGGUAAGAUGUUUUGUCGAAAGAUACUGAGAUUGUGUGUGUGUGUGUGUGUGUGUGUGUGUGUGUGUGUGUACAGGCAUGUAUGCGUGUGAGACAAUGCUUCUGGGAAGGGGUUGGCCACAACCAGGCAGGGGGUUUGCACUGAGGAUGAGCAGGGCACAUUUUCAGCAGAGCUGAAGUGUUUGUGGGACCCUGAGACCCACAGCUUAGAGCCAGAAGCUCUGGGCUUCCAGCAGGGGUCACUGAGGUCAGGCUUGAUUCCUGGGGGGGUGGGGGUACUGAGGGGUGUUGAGACAGACCCCCUGCCCUGGUCAGGCCCCAUGCCCAGGCUGGUGAGGACAGGAGGCCUGUGGUGGGUGGGGGCGACGGGGGAAGGCUGCAUGGUGUGAUUAACCUACUAACCAAACCAGGGCUCGGCCAGGACUCUGCCGCCCGCCCGCCUGCCUGCCAGCCCUCGAGGAGACGCCUGGCCCUUCUGUCGACUGACUAAUCCACUAACCUGGCCCGAGCAUGUCCUACUAACCCCGCAGCAGCCAAACCCUACUAACUUGGCAGCCCAGGGGCCUUCCCAGAGGCCGGGAGGCGGGGCAGACAAGGCUCUGGAAGGCCCUGCCUGGCGGCUGGGGUCUAUGUGCAGGCUCAUCCUGCAGGACAGGGCAUGCUAGGAGACUCACCAACUCUGCCACUCGCUGCUGCCCUCUCUGGGACGCUUUCCCUCCGUGGUGGAAUGGGAUCCUCCUACUUCCCUCGAUGACCGUGGCGAGGCAGCCAAAGUGUGGCCGAAUGGCAGGGACUUCAAAAUGGAAAAACCAAAACCAAAACAUGGCGAGGGCAGGCCGCAGGGUGCUGGGUGAUGUGCCCAUCCCCUGAUCUCGGGUGUUCUGCACACAGACCCUUCUGCCUGGGGCAGACACGUGCUUUGGAUCCUUAACCGUCUCUUCCCCUCUUGCCAGCUUUCUCCCUGUAGGCAGCUCUUUUGAUUACUAAUUGUCUAACGCUGGGGUGCCCUGCCCGCACCCUGCCGCCCAGGAACUAACGGCCCCCCGCUGCCUUCUUCUCUCUAGUGGCUCCUGUGUGUGUCUGCAGACCUGUCGCUGGUGCUGUGCUCUGAUCUACUAACACGGCCCUACUAACCAAUUUCUUCUCUUACUAACCCAGCCCUGCCGAGCUCUGGGCCUCCCGGGGGCUGGUCCCUCCUUUUGGCAAGCAGAUGUCCCCAGGCUGACCAGGCCAGAUCUGAGGCAGGGGACAGCUCUAUUAAUGAUGCCCAGAGGAAGAGGAGGAGGAGGCUGUCCUGUGGAUGUGGGACGCUGCGCUCCGAGCAUGACCUCUGUCCUCUGUGCACAGAUCUGGUUGCCACCAGGAGUGGAUGGGACCAAGGGAGCCAGCGUGGGGCCUGUAGUUCUGGGCCCUACCUAGCCUGGGCCCUUUCUGAUUUAGGCCAGGGAGGAAGGAGUAGGAACUCCCAGGGCCGGCCGUCUUGUACAGGAGCUCAAAGGUGUGUCUCUGAACCUGAAGCCGGUGGAAUGGCAAGCCGUAUGUGGAAGCUCUAAUUGAGAAGUUUUCAAAUAGAAUCGUGUGAGGGGGGCAUUUCCCCAAAAAACCACAAGGCAGAGUCAGGCAUUUCCCACAUGAAGCCUGAGGAGAGGGACUCUCUCUUAGUCUGAGAAGGCUCUCUUAAGUAGGCAGCCAGCUAGACAGGCUUUCUUACCGAGAGGGGCAGAAAAUCUCAAACUGGAAGUAGAUUUGGGGCCAUUUUCACAUAGGAAGUAGGUGUGAGGAUAUUUUUCCCUCAGGAAGUGUUCAGAAAGACCCUCCCCAGAGGCUGCCAGUUGCCAUGGUGCUCACAGUUGGGGAAGCGCCUCCACAGGCCCUUAGGGCUUACAGGAAGGCAGAGGAACUGGUGCCUGGAAGAGAACCCUAGGGGCCCUCGGGCCACUGGGAAGUUACCCCAGCUCCUUGUCCUGUUGAUGCCCAUCCCUCUGCCCCAGCCAGCCUCCCCCAGAGCCCGCCAGCUGCUAAGCCAGGGCCACACCUGGGGGUGAUUUCAUGCCUCACCUCCAGUAGGCUUAUGGCCUCUCUGGGCUAACCUCUGGCUCCUCUGCACUAACUCUAGCUCAUACCCAGCUAACCCCUGCCUCUCCCUGGCUGCCCUAGUGGCUGACCACUUGCCAGCCCUGCCCAUCCUGGGGGGUGGGGAGCUCCAGGCUCCUGGCCUGGCUUUGGCCGACUCCCUUGAACCACCCCUUCCUCUGGACUAAUUCAUGCCUUUCUGGUCUGUUCCUUUUGGCAGAAAUGAAUGGCUGUGGACUUCUCCCUGACUAACAGGUCUCACACAUCUCACUGUUACCACUAACGGCUUGGAUGGUGGCAUGGCUGGAAAGGGGCUGGCUGACAGAGGCUCUGAGCUUGAUUGAUACGGGGAGAAUGUAGCUAGGGAGAGUAGAUCCCAUGGCUGCUCUGGGUCAGAGAUUCCAAAUGUCAAUCAAGGUGGUACCCUGGCUGGGGUGUGGCUCAGCCAGAAGAAAGGGUACUGUCUACUGAGCAUCUUGGUGAGGUCAGACAUACAGCCAGCCUUCUAUAGAUUGUGGCCACUGGCCCCAUCCCAUAAUCUUACAAUCUGCAGGAGCUGUUAGCUCCGUAAACUACAGCCUCAGUUCUUGCAAGCAGAGGCAUGCAGGAGCCUAAGACACCUGUCUGGUUUCUUCAAAGAACUUGUUAUUGAUGGAUUCGCUGGGCCCAAGGCCAGGGCCUGUCCUUGUUUAGGAGACUUACGGAGUUCUGGCCGUAUGACCUCAAGCUCCAGGCAGAAAUAUCUAUGAGGGUUGUAAAUCCUCCAACCCUAGACACCCUAGUGAAAUAGCCCAGGCUUUCCCUUUAACUCUUCUAAGGUAGCUCUUUUACACAGGGUCGGUGCACUGGCUGGCAGGUAGUCCGGGACCCCUUAAGGCAAGGGGGAGUCCUCUGGGAACAGAGACAGAAAACCAUGAGGCCAGGGGACCCUUGUGGAGCUGUGGGUGACACAGGGCUGAGGUGGGCAAGAGGAGAGCAUCUUCUUUCACUGGCUUGGUCUGGAGGUUCAGUGACAUGGUUGAGCCUGUCGGCAGCCUCAGGGACAGGUUUCCUGGGUCAAUAGGUGCUGGAAGAGCUGCUUUCCUGCUGGCUUAGUGCUGACUGUAUAGCCGCCGGUUGUCCUGUAGGCCUCUGGGGGCUUGAGGUACAGAGGAAAUGGAGGAGAAGCCCCUGGGGAAGGUGGGUUUGCGCGGAGGCAGGGCUGGGAUGUACCUGUUGCUGCCCUCUGGUGGCCAACCAGCUUCAUCUCACCCACAAUGCCCAGAGAAGGCUGUUUACUCCAAGAACUCCAGAGGCAGAGGCUGGGCAGGGCAGAGCCCUGUCAUCAGGGCACCAGUGUGGGCACAAGCUGGUCCUCAGUGGCUGCAGUUCUGUGUGGUGGGCCCAGGACAGAGCAGGGGGAGGGGAUCAGGAGAGCUAAGGUGAGGCAGGCAGGGAGGGCUCUCUCGGAAGAGGGAUCACGCCAGCUAAACCUUGAUAUGGUACCAGGAGGGUGGCAGGGCUGGCCUUUUCAGGCUGCCUUUGCUCGCUUUAGCCCAGGUGGGGCAGGGAGGAGCUUACAGUGUGUGCCCGCCAUGUUCUAGACAGGGUCAGAGCUUCUGGCUUCCGUCCAUCUGGAGAGGAGCAGGGAUUACAGAGCUGGCUCUCACCGGGGGACAGAGGCGACAACGAGAAACUUACAGCUUAGCUCAAGCCCCGAAGGUGUGAGUUUCCUCCAGAAGACCUGGAGGACGGUGAUGGCGAUAAGUGUGUGUUUGUGUGUGUGUGCGUACUUGCUUGACUGUGUGCACAUGCAUGAGAGAGGGAAGGCAGAGAAAAGAGAGGCGACUAGAGGAAACAGCCUCCAACGGCUCAUUCUCAUCACCUGUCUCUGGGCUGCAUCUGCCCCCAUUCCCAGCCCACAUCCCAUUAAACUUCAGGCUUGUUUUGAGCAGGACCCCGUGGACAGGGACCAGCGUCCUGUCUGAGGAGGUCACAGCCUGCCUGGAGGGCGGAGCCAGCGUGGGCCCUGCCCCAGGGUGGGGCUGGGCAGUGAGGACAGCUUUGGGGUGCUCAGGUUUGGAGCCCUGGUGAAGCCUGUCUGGACUCCGUCUAGGGCGUAUUGUUUUGUAACCAGUUCGGCAAAGCUGUCUGUUCCACGUCUGUUCCUGCUGGUGGGGGAAGAGGGGUGCUGAGUGUAGGCCCUGGAAGCCUGAUGUAUUGAAGACGAUCUUUCCGAGGGUCCAGCCACAGUUCCCCGGUCUUUGGAUUUUCAUUCCUGUAGCUGUUUCUGUGUAAGAUGCUAUGUUACUAUUAAAACCAGUGCACACUG